UUCAUUUUUUUUUAUUGUUCCAGCAAGAUGGUUGGGAAAGGGACCUCUGGUCUUCCCCUCUCACCUAUUCCCUUUCUAUCUUUUUAUUUAUUUAUUUUUAUCAACCAUAGCAUCGAUAAAAAAUAUGAUCAAGAUCUUUUAAAAAAUAAAUAAAUAAAAAUUAUAAAUUAUUUAUGGAAUCUAGGAACAGAUCUAGUCGUGAUAAUUGCAAUCUCAAGCAAUGUUGUGGCUUUAGGACUCACCAUCAGCCCCCUCC
rnacentral:lncRNA from 1 species